rnacentral:rRNA from 1 species
CCUACGGGAGGCAGCAGUGGGGAAUAUUGGACAAUGGGCGAAAGCCUGAUCCAGCAAUGCCGUGUGUGUGAAGAAGGCCUUAGGGUUGUAAAGCACUUUUAGUGGGGAAGCGUUACCCACAGAAAAAGCACUGGCUAACUCUGUGCCAGCAGCCGCGGUAAUACAGAGAGUGCGAGCGUUAAUCGGAAUUACUGGGCGUAAAGCGCACGUAGGUGGAACUUUAAGUUGGAUGUGAAAUCCCUGGGCUUAACCUAGGAAUUGCAUUCAAUACUGGGGUUCUAGAAUAUAGUAGAGGGAAGUGGAAUUUCCGGUGUAGCGGUGAAAUGCGUAGAUAUCGGAAGGAACAUCAGUGGCGAAAGCGGCUUCCUGGACUAAAUUGACACUUAGGUGCGAAAGCGUGGGGAGCAAACAGGAUUAGAUACCCUAGUAGUC